rnacentral:rRNA from 1 species
AUGUUGUCACGACAAAUCUGGAGACUAAUUCAAUGCCCGGAGUCGUUAUGUGCAAGGAUCUUGCAGGCUCGGUACUAUCCACAAAAGCACAUAUUAGAGGCGGAGCCGAAGGAUGGCAUCUCCUACUCAUGGCGUAGUCUUCUACACGGACAAAAGCUGUUCAAGGAGGGUUAUGUGUGGAGGAUAGGGGACUGUACUGCAGUUAGGAUCUGGUCAGAUCCAUGGAUACCUCGCCUGUGGUCGCGAAGGGUCAUUACACCUCGCCGGCACAACCUGUUAGAGAGAGUUAGUGACCUAAUUGAUCCAAUAACGGGCACGUGGGAUGAACAGCUAGUGAUGGAGACCUUUUGGCCUGAUGAUGUCAAGCACAUAUUAUAGAUUCCAUUGCGCGAAGGGGUUCAGGAUUUCAUUGCCUGGCAGUAUGACAGCAAGGGCACGCACACGGUGAAAAGCGCGUAUAAGCUUCAAGUACAGCUGGAGGAAUUACGAAGAUCUGGAGGACAAGGCAUGAGCACGAGGGUGCCUAGGAUUUUUGAUAAAACAGAUGAUAUUUCAUGGAAGAGAAUAUGGAAGAUGCCAUGCCCUAGGAACAUUCAAAUGUUUACUUGGCGACUCAAACAUGAAUCGUUAGCCCUGCGAACGAAUGUUGCACGUAAAGGGAUACCCAUCCAAGACACUAGCUGCUUAUUCUGCGGUAGAGCGGCUGAGGACGGUGCACAUCUCUUCAUAAAAUGCAAAGCAGCAAAGGAGGUUUGGCGAGAUUUGGCUUUGGAGAAGGAACGCCUAGUCCUUGAAGAGAUAACAUCCGUGCAUGCUAUGCUGGACUUUUUGUGGGGACUAGAUGAGGAAAAGCGCCUUCAAAUCCUUACCUUCUGGUGGUAGUGGUGGUCCAACCGAAACAAGCUUCGAGAAGGGUCACUACCGAUCUCGGUUGCGGAGGUGGCGCGAAGCACCAGGACUAGGGUGAUGGAGUACAGGCAAAUCUUUGGUUGCGUUCGUACCAAAGACCCAGCUGACAAUUGGCACCCUCCAGUAGAUGCUGUUUACAAGAUCAACAUUGACGAUUCCUUCGUGCCUGGGCAAUCACAUGCUGGCUGGGGCAUCGUUGUCCGGGACAGUGGUGGCAUCCUUGGCGUUGCUAGAGCGGGAAGACAGGAACACGUCUACGACGCCUUUGCUGCUGAGAUCUUUGCCAUGUCACAUGCUAUAACCACAACCGCAGAGAUGGGCCUGACCCGGGUGCAGUUCGAGACAGAUUCCCAACUGGUUUCAAAAGGCCUGGACCUGCGGAGAGUCGAUUCAUCAGCCUACGCUGCUGUCAUUGAAGACAUGAAAUACCAACUUAAGCUUUGGUUUUCCCAGUUUUCUGUUUCUGUGUGUAGGCGUAAUGCCAAUUCUGUAGCGCACGAGCUUGCCUCCAUUGGGCGUGCGUUUGAACCUCACCACUACUUAGAGUGGGUGUCGGAUGUUCCAACCUCUGUGGCUGAGUGUGUACUGGGCGAUAUGCCCAAUCACCGUUGA